rnacentral:lncRNA from 1 species
GCACACACCACUUCACUCUCCACUCCGAGGCUCAGGGAGCAAGUGCCUGGCAUGGGGGGUAAAAGUUGGCUUUUUUUUUACUCCUUGGUCUUUUGCGCCCUUCUCCCUCUCCCCAGAAGGGAAGACCCAUUUAAACUAUUUUAGACGCAAUCAACCAAGAAUCACCAUGUGGAAUUGAGCGGCAGUUUUAAAUGUGUUGAGCAGGGGAGAGGAAUGAUGAGAAAAACAUUUUUUUUUUUUUUUUUGGAGACGCCGAAAGAAGCCUGUUUGUGUGCUGCGGCCGUGCUGUGACUUUGGAUCUUGUCUUUCAGCCGGCGCCUCGGUUCCUGCCCAGCUGGAUUUGGGGGGCAGCAUUGCCUGGCGCAGGGAGAUCAAAUGAGACUGCAAAGAAGCAUAAAAUGAAUAGACAAUCCAACCAACCAAAGGAAAUUGCUUUGGAGAUGAGGAAACAAACUCUUAUGGAGACCUAAGAGACUGAAGACAUCUGGCGUGGACUACUCUGAUGGUAAAAUUGAAAGUACACCUAAAUUUGCUUUGUUACAGGAUUCUCUUCAGAGGACAAGAGAAGAUGUUACAUUCUCUGCAUGAGGACAAUUCUGCAGCAUCAAAAUCGAAUAAUAUUUGUUUUCUGGCAGCAGAAUUUUGUAUCAUAUUUCUAAAGACAGUAAGCACUUGGGUGGACGUCAAUGAAUACUAAACACUAAUUGAUCUGAUACAGCCGUAUGCACAUACACAGAUAUACAUGGUGGCUUGUAAUGGUUGAAAAAUUACGGUUUGGUUUUAUUAAAAGAUCUGUCACUUUUAGGUCAGAGUGGGAUUUUGGAGGGAUAGUCUCCCACAAUAGAAAACUACCCUGACAACAGUGGUGUUUUGAGGUUGUUUGUUGUUUGGCUUCUUGAUGAUGCUUAGCUAAGGAGACACUUCCUUUCAGAUUCUGUCUUCCAAACCCCAGGGCUCUGUUCUGGGCAGUUCAGCCUAAUGGAAUUAAGCCUGACAUGUUUCAACUCUAUUUCUUGAUAAAAUAAACAUAAAACAAUGGUUUAGAUUUCGAAUAAAACUCUUGAAGCAUGGGGUACUCUAACUUUCCCUGUUCUUUACACAUCUGUAAAUAAAGUGCAUAAAAGAGGAACACAACAGGAUAAAUCAACAUAAAUUUGAAAUCCACUGCAGCAUAUUAAAUGGCGCAGUCUCAGUCAAAGAGAGGCUGACCCCGCGGCUUCGUGCAGUUUGAAGCUAAUUGUUUUCGUCAGGAUGGGAACGUCUGGAAGUCCAUGGCUGUAUCCCACCAGUAAGGCUCCAGUAACUGAGCCGGCCCACAGAGAAUGGGCCCACUUUGUAGCGACACAGCGGGCUCAGACACCACCUAUUCUGCUCUCCAAACUGUCAUGCAUAACAACUUUAUUGUGCUAAAUUGAACUUGAAAGCAACCAAAGGCUAUGAGAAGGAGAGGCUAUGAGAAAAGCGUGCUGUCAGCGCCGGCAAAGGCUGACCUGGAAAGUAGGCUCAGAGACAGGGGAAUAAAAGACCAGGCCCCAUGAACACAGCAUAUUGUUUCAUUUUAAAGUAUGAUUCCCAUACCAGAGAAAGUAGCAAAUGUGAUGUAAAUUUAUUUAAAUAGAUUCGACCGCUUAAAAGUUUGCCAGCCGCUCUUAUCCAACUUUCCCAGCUCUCUGAUUCGUUACUUACAGUGGGAAUAUAAUGACAUAUAGUCAUCAUUGUAACAGCUUCUUUGCAGGGGCACAAUGAUGAUUAAUAGCCAGCAGCAAAUUUUCACAUGGGCUCUGAAGCACUAUGGCAUUAAGCAGCCAAACAGUCCCAAAUCCCCCUUUUCUGUUCCGCUGAAAAGUCCCCUCCUUGUACCUUCCAGAUAGGAACAAAGCCUAUCUUAAUUCCAAUCAGCUUUUCGUCAUUCAAAGGGACCUUCUCUUUUUCAUAAUUGAUUCAUGUGCAUUUUUUAGUGUUCCACUGAGCUGAAGCCACUUUUCUCCUUUCCUCUGUUCUGUCCCCACACCCACACCCCCUUUUUUUGAGGGGGUGAGGAGUGGGAAACAUUUCAACAACAACAACAACAGUAAAAAAUGGUGUGGUAGUUUCCCCCGCAAAUAUUUGCUAAAUAGAUUUCUCAAUUAGUAUUAGCUUUACACUUAAAAGUCUUAAAACAAAAAUUAACUCCUGGACUUCUUUUUUGUUGGAAGUGGUUUUGGUUAUAAAAAUAUGAGCUUACUGAAAUAGCUCUGGUGGCAGCCCCACAAUCAUGUUCUGUUUCACUGGGAGAGUUUGAGUAGCUUUCCUUCCCACCAGAGACUCACAGCUGGAGUGAGGAUGGAGUCUCUUGCUUCAGACAGAUUCUUUUUCCUCCUCUGUGCUGGUAGCCAUCAAAAAAAGAACAAGUGACCAAAAUGAAAGGCGGCAAAUGCACACCUCCUAACCCACUCUGUCCUUCUUAAGUAUCAUUUUUCCCCAUAGUAAUCGUACAUUAUAAUUAUUAGCAGAAGCUCCUGUGCUAUUUGUGGAAGUGCUCUCUCUCGUCUAUAGUUUUCACCUCCUGUGAUAACGACACAAACGACAUCAACCAGUGCUGUCUUGGAAAAAGAUUUCCAUCCGCAAAUUCAUUUGUGUUUCUAUGACAAUAUGAUGGCCAUAGAGCACAGUUUUAGUAGAUAUACUUUGCAUAUUUGUUUACAUUCCUUACAAAUCUGACCUCAUUUUUCUAUAUGAGUAGGGUGACCACACACCCCUGUUUUCUCAGGACUAGCUGUAUUUAUGCCUAUUGUCCUUACAUAAUUAUUAACAGUACUUCCUUUCACCCUCAAAAGUAUCCUGAUUUGAACAAUUUGAAAAACUCAUGACGUUUUGCCAUUAAAAUGGCCCCAAAUGACUUACACAAACCCAAAGGGUGGGCUGUCUCCUACCCAGGUGGCUGGGGACUGCUUUAUACCAUCCCAGUUUAGGGGAAAGAAUCAAACUUGGAAACCCUGCUGCCGAUGUAGCAGCACCGACUUUUGUCUCGCCCACUUUGAAGAGGUCAGUUGACCCUAUACAGCUUCUUUGAUAUGUGACAGAAAGGAGGUCAUUUGCUGAAAUGAAAGACACAUUACAAACCAGAUUUUAAGUGUGACUCUUUCCUUCAGCUGGGUCACAGUUCUUACUUUGAGCCAGAGCAACACACUUUACUGGUCAGAUAAAAAUACUCUGCCAUAUUUUAGAAUAAUGACCUUUCUUAUGCUUUGGUGUCUCCAAAUGGUUAAAUGGAGAAUAUAUCCAAUUGACAGGAGGAAUUCUGUUCAUCAUUUUUACUCUUGUGUUUAUAUCUUCUCAU